CAGAACACAGAUGAAGGGUGUUUCAUGAAGGCGCAGGUAUAAUACUGGGCUUCACUAAGGUUUUCUAAGGGUUUUUGUCAUUUCAAUAUUGAGAGUGCUAAGAAGCAUGGAAAAGUUUGGGGUGCUCAGGAUCUAUGAUGGAAGGAUCCCAAUAUAAUAUUAAUGGUUACUGACCUGGAAAUGAUCAAAGCAAUUAUGGUUAACAGAAUUAACAGAAGGGAAACAAAUGCAGACCUUGCUGGCCCCUUUGCCGAUGGAAUAACUGUAAAGCUGAGAGAUGGAAGAGAAUACACAGUUUACACUCUACAUAUUUCACAAGUGGUCGACUGUUGGAGGUACAGUAAAAGGUUCAACCCAGAAUGUAAGUCAGAGAUGAACCAGUACGCUUUCCUGCCUUUUGGACUUUGGAAAUUGCAUUGGAAAGAGAUUCGCCCAAAUGAUCACUUCUUGUUCUUGAUGAAACUUCUUGUUGUGAAGCUGCUUCAGAUUUUCACUGUGGAAACAUGUAAAGAGACACAGAAGAGGAAUGCCGCUUUUCAGCCAAAAGUUCCCAUCACACUGAAGUUUAUGCCAAGAUCUCACAAGGAAAAACAAUAAUGCAAUGAAAAAGUUACGUUAUAUAAUUCUGAAUAAUACGAAAAUGUUUAAUCAUGAAGACUGAAACAUAUUAGAAUAUUUACUCAAUUAUAAUUCUCUUUUUAAUAUUUCAUUAUUCACAAUUAUUCAUUAUAUGUUUAUCUUUUACAUUUAAUAGAAGUGAGCCAUUAUGUGAUUUAUGGUGCUCUUCCUGCUUCAUUCAAUUUGUGUCAUUUGUGCAAUGCUUAUUGAAGUGUAAUAAAUAUGUUGCAUGCACAUUUAAUUACAUUUAUUAUAUUUAUUAUACUUACAGUAUGUUUUAUAAAACAAAAACAAAUAAUGUAUAUUAUACAGUCAGUGCAGUGUAUAUUCAUGCAGCAGUAAAUCAGACGUGAAGUUUAGGUUUUUUUUCUAUUUAGAAAGAUCAAUUAUAUCAUCAGAAUUAUUUUACCACAUAAAAUGUGCCCCUGUGAGAAAUACUUUCUUAUGAAAAGCGGUAAUUUUGUCAUUCAUUGUUCCCAAAAAGCCCAUAAAACUGAAUCCAGUGUCCUGCAUUAUGGAUGUCAAUGAAGACUAAACAGGAAGAUAUUGUUUGUUUUCACACCACUUGCAGCCUUAAUUUGCGCUGCCAUGCACUGGAAAAACCACCACUAAAAAACAGAUAUUGAGAAAGAAACUGCUUUUUUUAAUUGACAGUUAUCAAAUCAUAUUAUAUGUAUACAAUAUUCUUUUCAAUCUUGGUACUUUUAACAUUUACAUUAACACUAUUAUUUUUUAAAUGAAAUAAGCAUAAGAUUCACCUCUAGGGGUAUUGUUUGUAUACCAAAUUAAUCAAAUAAAUGAAUAUAGGCUAUUUAAUUCUGAGUAGUUAUAUGAGUAAGUAAAUGUGCAGUUUGGCACUGUGUGUAAUAUCUGCUGGAGCCUCAGUAAAGUUGACCUCAGCAUUGAAUGUGAUGUAACCAGCUGUAAUUCCAUCCUACAUUAAGGCCCCUUUCCUCACUUGGUCUUUAAAAAUAUUCCUGUCUUUCUUUGACAUCUGAGAAUUAAACUAAAAUGCCUUUUUCGA